CCCGAACCCGGUAGUUAAGCCCCUCAGCGCCGAUGGUACUGCAUGGGAGACUGUGUGGGAGAGUAGGACGCCGCCGGAC
rnacentral:rRNA from 2 species